rnacentral:rRNA from 1 species
GGGUUUGAUCAUACCAGCACUAAUUCACUGGAUUCCAUCAGAACUCCGCAGCUAAGUGUGCUUGGGCAAGAGUAGUACUAUAAUGUUUAUCGAAAGAACACCCUUUUAGCUCU